AGAUGGUUCGCUGCACCUUGACCGGGCGGCCGUCCCGCGUCAGCACAAAGGCACACUUCUUUCCAGGAGGUGCCACUCGGGCAUAACGCAGCAAAAAUUCGCCACCUGGUGGUUGAGAAGUCGGCCUGCUAGAACUCAGGAAGCCAGACGGAGCUGGUCGCUGUCCCGUGACUGUCAUUCAGCUGACCCAGCGGCGCCCCACCCGACCCCUCCUCCGGGAGGUGCCGCAGAGCCUGGGGGCGGGGCUUGGCGGUCGCACGACUCCGCCCCCCGUGCUCCGGCACCGCCCCCACGCUGGCCCGGCCCAGACCCCUCGGGCCCCGGAGUCGGAAAGGAGGCGGGCAGUGGCCGCUGCUGGGCGCCCUGGGCUCAAGAUCCUCCUGGGGAGAAAUGCUGGCCCUUGGGUCCCCGGCAAGAGUGACGGGAUGCGGCACAGCCCCUCCUGGCUGGUUGGCGGGAAGUACCAACCCCGCCCGUUUAACCCCGGCACACCACCCACCCUGGCAAUUGCGCCAGCAGCGGGGCUGCGAGGAGCUACUUCGAGAGAGUUCCGUUCCUUCUCUUUCCGGGGCCUGGCCCACGUGCAGGAUGGAGCCCGGGCAGGAGAGGAUCGGCUCCAGCGGCACCUGCUGGGCCUUUGACACGGGAACCACCCCGCAGGCGAUACCCGUGCGUCCCGGGGAGCGGACACCGCGAGAGAACCCAGCUCAGUCCUCCCCAGCCAUUCACAGAGGCCCGUGGCCGAUGACCCGCUCUCUAGACAGGGAGUCGGGAGCGGCUGCCCAGGGCACUCCUCCCCUGUGUUCUAAACCCCGGCUACCGUGGGACCUUCUGCGGGCAACCAGGCCCUGGCCCAGCUCAGUCCCAAGGGCCAGGGGCCUUGGCAGACCCUUG